rnacentral:rRNA from 1 species
UUGCUUCUCGGGAAAGUGGCGCACGGGUGCGUAACGCGUAUGCAACCUACCUCAAUCAGGGGGAUAGCCCGAAGAAAUUCGGAUUAACACCGCAUAAAAUCACAGGAUAGCAUUAUCUAAUGAUCAAAUAUUUAUAGGAUUGAGAUGGGCAUGCGUGUCAUUAGCUAGUUGGCGAGGUAACGGCUCACCAAGGCGACGAUGACUAGGGGAUCUGAGAGGAUGACCCCCCACACUGGUACUGAGACACGGACCAGACUCCUACGGGAGGCAGCAGUAAGGAAUAUUGGUCAAUGGAGGCAACUCUGAACCAGCCAUGCCGCGUGCAGGAAGACAGCCCUCUGGGUCGUAAACUGCUUUUAUUCGGGAAUAAACCUACUUACGUGUAAGUAGCUGAAUGUACCGAAGGAAUAAGGAUCGGCUAACUCCGUGCCAGCAGCCGCGGUAAUACGGAGGAUCCAAGCGUUAUCCGGAUUUAUUGGGUUUAAAGGGUGCGUAGGCGGCUUAUUAAGUCAGGGGUGAAAGACGGUGGCUCAACCAUCGCAGUGCCCUUGAUACUGAUGAGCUUGAAUACACUAGAGGUAGGCGGAAUGUGACAAGUAGCGGUGAAAUGCAUAGAUAUGUCACAGAACACCGAUUGCGAAGGCAGCUUACUAUGGUGUUAUUGACGCUGAGGCACGAAAGCGUGGGGAUCAAACAGGAUUAGAUACCCUGGUAGUCCACGCCCUAAACGAUGAAUACUCGCUGUUAGCGAUACACAGUUA